rnacentral:lncRNA from 1 species
AUGUGACAGGCCUAGCAACGUACAGUUUUAAAUAAAUGACGUAUCUGCUGGAAGGUUAACAGAGGUAAUCUAUAUAUCUACUUGUUUCUCCCAUAUACGCAGUUAUCGGUUGCUUCUUUUAUUCUAUGCUAUUUCUUAUGCACAUUGACAAAGGCCUUUCUUUUCAUUCUGUCCAAAUUCAAAAUAUCCCUAUUUUUUACAAAAGCUGUUAAAUAACAAAUAAUACGAAUGUGUCAAUAUUGACGUAGAUGUAUAUAUAUUUACCUGUAUAAAUUCUAUUUUGAAACAUAAUAGCCUCUUUAAAUCGUUUUAGGAUGAAUAAACGUGUAUUCAUUGCAGACCGGAACUUCUUAAUAUAAACACGAAAGCACAGAACCAACUUGAAUGAUUGCAGUGUCAUUUAUUUAUAGUGAUAUUUACCAAUGAAAUAUCAAAUAUAAAGGAAGGGGUCUUUUUAUCAAAUCCAGGGACAUUUGAUAACAGUAAGCAGUAAGUGAUUUCAAUAAAACACAGGAGGGGUUUGAUACAAUAUUUCACCUUCACAGGUCAGAUCCACG